UUGGUUAGAAGGCCAGGAGUACAGAUUCCCAAGGAUCUUCCUCGCCUCCGGAAAUCUCAGGUUUCUGACAGCUGCCCUCGAUGGCUCCCUCAGGGAUAACAGAACUUUCUGGAAGCAGAUUCAUGAGGCAGAUCAGAGGAGUUCAGAUGUUGCUGUCUGUAAAAGAAUUUAUAAUUUGUACCUUGCUGCACCCAACUUGCUUUUGGGCAUCUUCACUUGGGUGCUUGAAGUUGGUAUGCCCUCUGUCCAGACAAGCAUCUUCUUGGGCUAUUAAUUAUGUAAUUAAAGGUCUGAACCUUCUCAUUUAAGAUGAU
rnacentral:lncRNA from 1 species